GAGCACCCGGAGGAAACGCACGCACGGAGACACAGUCGUCUUUCCUCAGACAGGGAGCUAGCACGCAGGUACAGCAAAAAAACUGCAACUUGUUCAUGAAUUAACCAUGAGCAGUCACAGGGGAAAGUGACCGUCACCGGUCAAGCAUAAGGUGCUAUGAUGGAGACAGAGGCUUCAAGAGAGAGGGACACGGCGCUCACAUUCACCCCAAGUUCUGGUCAGGAGGGGUCCUGAACAACUGGAUGGGAACCAGUUAAGACAUGGGCCAAGGACCAACAGACCUUGAGGCAGUGCAGAUGAUAUUGCGGGGCACUGAAUUUUUGUUCAAGAGCAUCAACUUGCAGCUUUGCGGAAUAAUGAACGUUAUUUAUUACUGAUGGUGGAAAGCACAGCUUGCAUUCGUGAAGCUUCAGGAAU